rnacentral:tRNA from 1 species
AAAUCCGUCGACUUUAUAAAUCGUGAGGGUUCAAGUUCCCUCUAUCCCCA